rnacentral:rRNA from 1 species
UACGGGGGGUGCGAGCGUUGCUCGGAAUCAUUGGGCGUAAAGGGCAAGUAGGUGGUCUCAUUUGUCUUGUGUGAAAUCCUUGGGCUUAACUCAAGAAGUGCGCAAGAAACGGUGAGACUCGAGUUCUGGAGAGGGUCGUGGAAUUCCCGGUGUAGCGGUGAAAUGCGUAGAGAUCGGGAGGAAUACCGGUGGCGAAAGCGACUCUCUGGACGGCAACUGACGCUGAGGCACGAAAGCGUGGGGAGCAAACAGG